rnacentral:rRNA from 1 species
UACGAGGGGGGCAAGCGUUGUUCGGAAUUAUUGGGCGUAAAGGGUGCGUAGGCGGUUUGACAAGUCUUAUGUGAAAUCUAUGGGCUCAACCCAUAGUCUGCAUGGGAAACUGUCGGGCUUGAGUAUGGGAGAGGUGAGUGGAAUUUCCGGUGUAGCGGUGAAAUGCGUAGAUAUCUGCAGGAACACCCGUGGCGAAAGCGGCGCGCUGGACCACUACUGACGCUGAGGAACGAAAGCUAGGGGAGCAAACAG